rnacentral:lncRNA from 1 species
GGCAGCGGUCUGCUCCUCCCUCCUCAUACGGUACAGGGACCUAAAUUGUGUAGUUCCAAAGAGACGGAACAGAGGAAAACCUGGAACAUUCGGUGCAGAGAGCUGGCAUGACAACAGCAAGCAAAAACGUGUAGUAGUGCAUGUGAGGUGGUACAGAUUAAAACAGCCCACAGGCUACACAGUGCCAGUGCCUGCUGAGAGGAAAAGAAGGAAUCCAAGCCAUCUGAUUUUCAGGCCCAUAUUUCAUUACCUCCUGUAAGGGAACAGAAAAACUAAGCAUAAGAAGACCUCACUGCGAAGCUUCUACCUUCUCCUCCACAAAUGAAGAAGAAAAUGACUCACCUCAUCCUGCUUGGCAGCAUCUG